AUUGAACGCUGGCGGCAUGCCUUACACAUGCAAGUCGAACGGUAACGGGCCUUCGGGUGCCGACGAGUGGCGAACGGGUGAGUAAUGCAUCGGAACGUACCUUUCAGUGGGGGAUAACGUAGCGAAAGUUACGCUAAUACCGCAUAUUCUGUGAGCAGGAAAGCAGGGGAUCGCAAGACCUUGCGCUGAUUGAGCGGCCGAUGUCAGAUUAGCUCGUUGGUGAGGUAAAGGCUCACCAAGGCGACGAUCUGUAGCGGGUCUGAGAGGAUGAUCCGACACACUGGAACUGAGACACGGGACAGACUCCUACGGGAGGCAGCAGUGGGGAAUUUUGGACAAUGGGGGCAACCCUGAUCCAGCCAUGCCGCGUGAGUGAAGAAGGCCUUCGGGUUGUAAAGCUCUUUCGGUCGGGAAGAAAUCGCAUGGGUUAAUACCCUGUGCGGAUGACGGUACCGGCAUAAGAAGCACCGGCUAACUACGUGCCAGCCGCCGCCGUAAAAC
rnacentral:rRNA from 1 species